rnacentral:rRNA from 1 species
AGUGAACGCUGGCGGUAGGCCUAACACAUGCAAGUCGAACGGCAGCACAGUAAGAGCUUGCUCUUACGGGUGGCGAGUGGCGGACGGGUGAGGAAUACAUCGGAAUCUACUUUUUCGUGGGGGAUAACGUAGGGAAACUUACGCUAAUACCGCAUACGACCUACGGGUGAAAGCAGGGGAUCUUCGGACCUUGCGCGAUUGAAUGAGCCGAUGUCGGAUUAGCUAGUUGGCGGGGUAAAGGCCCACCAAGGCGACGAUCCGUAGCUGGUCUGAGAGGAUGAUCAGCCACACUGGAACUGAGACACGGUCCAGACUCCUACGGGAGGCAGCAGUGGGGAAUAUUGGACAAUGGGCGCAAGCCUGAUCCAGCCAUGCCGCGUGGGUGAAGAAGGCCUUCGGAUUGUAAAGCCCUUUUGUUGGGGAGGAAAAGCAGCAGGUUAAUACCCCGCUGUUUUGACGGUACCAAAAGAAUAAGCACCGGCUAACUUCGUG